UACGGAGGGGGGCUAGCGUUGUUCGGAAUUACUGGGCGUAAAGCGCACGUAGGCGGCUUUGCAAGUCAGAGGUGAAAGCCCGGGGCUCAACCCCCGGAAUUGCCUUUGAGACUGCAUCGCUAGAAUUGUGGAGAGGUAAGUGGAAUUCCGAGUGUAGAGGUGAAAUUCGUAGAUAUUCGGAAGAACACCAGUGGCGAAGGCGACUUACUGGACACAUAUUGACGCUGAGGUGCGAAAAGCGUGGGGGAGCAAACAGG
rnacentral:rRNA from 1 species